rnacentral:rRNA from 1 species
GAUGAACGCUAGCUACAGGCUUAACACAUGCAAGUCGAGGGGAAACGGCAUCGCAAGCUUGCUUUUGAUGGGCGUCGACCGGCGCACGGGUGAGUAACGCGUAUCCAACCUUCCCAUCACUUGGGAAUAACCUUGCGAAAGUAAGACUAAUGCCCAAUGACAUCCCACGAAGGCAUCCGAAUGGGAUUCAAGAUUUAUCGGUGAUGGAUGGGGAUGCGUCUGAUUAGCUUGUUGGCGGGGUGACGGCCCACCAAGGCAACGAUCAUUAGGGGUUCUGAGAGGAAGGUCCCCUACAAUGGAACGGAGACACGGACCAAACUCCGACGGGAGGCAGCAGUGAGGAAUAUUAGUCAAUGGGCGAGAGCCUGAACCAGCCAAGUAGCGGGCAGGAUGACGGCCCUAGGGGUGGUAAACUGCUGUUAUAAGAGAAUAAAGUGGGUCACGUGUGACGUUUUGCAUGUACCUUAUGAAUAAGGACCGGCUAAUUCCGUG